GGCCUAUCAGCUUGUUGGCGGGGUAAAGGCCCACCAAGGCGACGAUCCGUAGCUGGUCUGAGAGGAUGAUCAGCCACACUGGAACUGAGACACGGUCCAGACUCCUACGGGAGGCAGCAGUGGGGAAUAUUGGACAAUGGGCGCAAGCCUGAUCCAGCGACGCCGCGUGAGGGAUGACGGCCUUCGGGUUGUAAACCUCUUUCAGCAGGGAAGAAGCGAAAGUGACGGUACCUGCAGAAGAAGCGCCGGCUAACUACGUGCCAGCAGCCGCGGUAAUACGUAGGGCGCAAGCGUUGUCCGGAAUUAUUGGGCGUAAAGAGCUCGUAGGCGGCUUGUCACGUCGGUUGUGAAAGCCCGGGGCUUAACCCCGGGUCUGCAGUCGAUACGGGCAGGCUAGAGUUCGGUAGGGGAGAUCGGAAUUCCUGGUGUAGCGGUGAAAUGCGCAGAUAUCAGGAGGAACACCGGUGGCGAAGGCGGAUCUCUGGGCCGAUACUGACGCUGAGGAGCGAAAGCGUGGGGAGCGAACAGGAUUAGAUACCCUGGUAGUCCACGCCGUAAACGGUGGGCACUAGGUGUGGGCAACAUUCCACGUUGUCCGUGCCGCAGCUAACGCAUUAAGUGCCCCGCCUGGGGAGUACGG
rnacentral:rRNA from 1 species